GAUGAGAACGUAGCGAAAUGCGAUAAGUAAUGUGAAUUGCAGAAUUCAGUGAAUCAUCGAAUCUUUGAACGCACAUUGCGCCCGCCAGUAUUCUGGCGGGCAUGCCUGUUCGAGCGUCAUUACAACCCUCAGGCCCCCGGGCCUGGCGUUGGGGAUCGGCGGAAGCCCCCUGCGGGCACAACGCCGUCCCCCAAAUACAGUGGCGGUCCCGCCGCAGCUUCCAUUGCGUAGUAGCUAACACCUCGCAACUGGAGAGCGGCGCGGCCACGCCGUAAAACACCCAACUUCUGAAUGUUGACCUCGAAUCAGGUAGGAAUACCCGCUGAACUUAAGCAUAUCAAUAAGCGGAGGA
rnacentral:misc_RNA from 1 species